AAUCCGAACCACAAAAUCAUAUUCGGGUCCAAAUCAACCAUUCAGGUUGAACUUUCUCUCCAAUCUAAUCUCAAUCGAGAUUUCUGCAAUUAAGAAGGAAAUAUUUUCCAUUUCCGUCACAGAUUUAUCCGACUUCAUGAGGUUCUUUUGCGAUUCAACGGUCACGUUCGCUCCGUCAUCGCACGCGGAGUUUCCUUUUAUCGAUCAGCCUUGAUUUUGUUUCCUAAUUUUUGGUUGAAGCUCUUGAUUUGUAUAAGUUUGGAACGGAAUUUGGUUGUGAAGAUGAGGGUAAUCAAGUCCCAGGUAUGGCAGCCGUGCAAGAAGAAGAGAUUUUGAUCGAUAGUGAUUAAAUAUAACAGAUAUACUAAAGCCAAGAUUUGAGAGGAAUUGAUCGGUAAUGGCGUCUCGUUCGAGCAAUACCACAGGGAGCAGGACACGUGUGGGGAAGUACGAGCUGGGAAGGACACUGGGAGAAGGGACCUUUGCCAAGGUCAAAUUCGCUCGCAACUGCGAUACUGAAGAGCAUGUCGCAAUCAAGAUUCUCGAUAAAGAGAAACUCCUCAAGCACAAGAUGAUCACCCAGAUUAAACGUGAGAUUUCAACUAUGAAACUGAUUAGGCAUCCAAAUGUCAUCCGCAUGUAUGAGGUGAUGGCCAGCAAGACAAAAAUAUACAUUGUUCUAGAAUUUGUGACUGGUGGGGAACUUUUUGACAAAAUUGCAAGUAAAGGGAGGUUGAAAGAAGAUGAAGCAAGAAAGUACUUUCAGCAGCUUAUUUGCGCUGUUGAUUAUUGCCAUAGCAGAGGGGCAUUCCAUAGGGACUUGAAGCCAGAAAAUUUGCUGCUGGAUGCUAACGGAGUCCUUAAAGUCUCAGAUUUUGGGUUGAGUGCACUACCUCAGCAAGUUCGAGAAGAUGGAUUACUUCAUACAACCUGUGGAACGCCAAAUUAUGUUGCUCCUGAGGUGAUAAACAAUAAAGGCUAUGAUGGAGCUAAGGCAGAUCUGUGGUCAUGCGGGGUGAUUCUUUUUGUCUUAAUGGCAGGUUACUUGCCUUUUGAAGAUAAUAACCUCAUGUCAUUAUAUAAAAAGAUAAAUAAGGCUGACUUCUCAUGUCCUCCUUGGUUCUCAUCAAGUGCAAAGAAACUAAUCAAAAGAAUCUUGGACCCUAAUCCAGUGAGGCGGAUUACAAUCGCGGAGGUUAUGGAGAAUGAGUGGUUCAAGAAAGGAUAUAAACCACCUACUUUUGAACAAGCAGAUGUUAGUCUCGAUGAUGUGAAUGCUAUCUUCAAUGAAUCAUGGGACUCUGGAAACCUUGUUGUAGAAAGGCGAGAAGAAGUGCCUAUGGGCCCCAUUGUCCCUGUGACUAUGAAUGCCUUUGAACUCAUCUCCACAUCUAAGGGCCUCAAUCUUAGUAGUCUUUUUGAGAAGCAAAUGGGACUUGUUAAACGGGAGACUAGAUUCACAUCCAGAUGUCCUGCAAAUGAAAUAAUCUCAAAAAUAGAGGAAGCUGCAGUGCCUUUGGGCUUCGAUGUAAAGAAAAACAACUUCAAGUUGAAGCUUCAGGGGGAGAAAACUGGACGUAAAGGUCAUUUAUCAGUUGCAACAGAAAUAUUUCAGGUGGCCCCUUCCCUUUACAUGGUUGAGCUUCGCAAGUCUGGAGGAGAUACACUUGAAUUUCACAAGGGGUUGGGCAAAGCUUAGUUUAUUCUGCUUUCUGGAAUCAGCUUAGGGGCUCUGGAGUAUGACCAAAGUACUUUAUAUACUUUAGGUCUAGCAAGCAUGGUCGAUCCUUGAUUCUACAAUAACCUCUCAACUGGGCUGAAGGAUAUUGUUUGGAAAUCAGCUGAUGAAACAAAAGAAGAAAAUGGAGAGGCUGGCACAUCGGCAUAAUUCUCCUGGGGGGCUCAAACAUUGUCACAUUCAGACAUCUAAAAGAUUGUUAUGUAACAUAUUGGGUACAGCUUCCUUUGUUGCGUGUUCAUCUUCUUGAAAAAAAGUUGCUUAUAUAGCUUGGAUUUCAUUUAAUUUGAUUUUCCUUCUUCAUGAGAGGUGGUUUGGCUUUGUUUACAUUGGUUCAUAAUGUACACACAACUCAUUUGCAACAGAACAUUUACAAUUACAUUUCAUUGCUUUGCUUUCCAGUAGGGAAGUCA